rnacentral:rRNA from 1 species
ACAGAGGGGGCGAGCGUUGUUCGGAAUUACUGGGCGUAAAGGGCGCGUAGGUGGCCUGUUAAGUCGAACGUGAAAUCCCCGGGCUCAACCCGGGAACUGCGUCCGAGACUGGCAGGCUUGAAUCCGGGAGAAGGAUGUGGAAUUCCUGGUGUAGCGGUGAAAUGCGUAGAUAUCAGGAGGAACACCGGUGGCGAAGGCGGCCCUCUGGACGAGUACUGACACUGAGGCGCGACAGCGUGGGGAUCAAACAGGA